rnacentral:rRNA from 1 species
UACGUAGGGGGCAAGCGUUGUCCGGAAUCAUUGGGCGUAAAGAGCUCGUAGGCGGUCUGUCGCGUCGGAUGUGAAACCUCGGGGCUCAACCCCGAGCCUGCAUUCGAUACGGGCAGACUAGAGUUCGGUAGGGGAGACUGGAAUUCCUGGUGUAGCGGUGAAAUGCGCAGAUAUCAGGAGGAACACCGGUGCGGAAGGCGGGUCUCUGGGCCGAUACUGACGCUGAGAGCGAAAGCGUGGGGAGCGAACAGG